UUAAGUCAGAUGUGAAAGACCCGGGGCGUUAACCUCGGAAUUGCAUUUGAAACUGGCAGGCUAGAGUCUUGUAGAGGGGGGUAGGAAGUUUCAGGUGUAGCGGUGAAAUGCGUAGAGAUCUGAAGGAAUACCAGUGGCGAAGGCGGCCCCCUCGGACAAAGACUGACGCUCAGAUGCGAAAGCGUGGGGAGCAAACAGGAUUAGAUACCCUGGUAG
rnacentral:rRNA from 1 species